UACGUAGGGGGCGAGCGUUGUCCGGAGUUACUGGGCGUAAAGGGCAUGCAGGCGGUCGGACGCGUUUUGUGUGACAGCGGAUGGCUUACCCAUCCGAGCAUACGAAAGACGGUUGGACUUGAGGACUCGAGAGGGACACGGAAUUCCGGGUGGAGUGGUGAAAUGCGCAGAUAUCAGGAGGAACACCGGUGGCGAAGGCGGGUCUCUGGGCCGUUACUGACGCUGAGGAGCGAAAGCGUGGGGAGCGAACAGG
rnacentral:rRNA from 1 species